AGUGAACGCUGGCGGUAGGCCUAACACAUGCAAGUCGAACGGCAGCACAGUAAGAGCUUGCUCUUACGGGUGGCGAGUGGCGGACGGGUGAGGAAUACAUCGGAAUCUACUUUUUCGUGGGGGAUAACGUAGGGAAACUUACGCUAAUACCGCAUACGACCUACGGGUGAAAGCAGGGGAUCUUCGGACCUUGCGCGAUUGAAUGAGCCGAUGUCGGAUUAGCUAGUUGGCGGGGUAAAGGCCCACCAAGGCGACGAUCCGUAGCUGGUCUGAGAGGAUGAUAAGCCACACUGGAACUGAGACACGGUCCAGACUCCUACGGGAGGCAGCAGUGGGAAAUAUUGGACAAUGGGCGCAAGCCUGAUCCAGCCAUACCGCGUGGGUGAAGAAGGCCUUCGGGUUGUAAAGCCCUUUUGUUGGGAAAGAAAAGCAGCAGGUUAAUACCCCGCUGUUCUGACGGUACCCAAAGAAUAAGCACCGGCUAACUUCGUG
rnacentral:rRNA from 1 species